CUUGAACUGAAGAGGAUGUGCAGGCCAUGCAUGGAGCUACUGGUAUCACUGGGCCUAGUUGGACAUGCCCAAAAACUAUGGUAUGGAUGGGGUGCAAGAGCUUCUGGAUGGCGGUGACGUUGAGAAAUUAAAGCGCCUAGAAGGCACUUGGUGUUGAAUCCAAAAGCAUCCACUCGUGAAAACGCCGCCAACAACAUACUGAAGUGCUUAUUCAAAGCUCCGGUCGCGACCUCUCCAUCUCCGGUGUUGAAUUCCCGGACUCACCCAAGGUUCAGAAGCUUGACGUCAUCAGCUUCACACUCUCCAGGCUCUCCCUCCGCUUCGCAGUUUGAAGCUUCAUCAAGUCAUCCUCGUGUUCAAACUCCAGCUCGCAGAUUUGGAUCCAAACCUUGCGUUUUCCACCCUCGCCGAGAUUACCUCUUCGAACAGGUUAUUCCUAUUUCAUCCCUAUAACCAGCUUAAUCCCGGUGCGAAAUCGAAACCAGGUUAUGCUCGAGUAAAGCUUCACACGUGGAAUCAAAAGGGAAAUGGUACGAAUUUGUUCAAUAGGUUCCCGUUGGUUACAGAAGAACGAGCAGAAGAAAACUCACGGGGUCGGAAUUGUGAUGUAGCGGUUCUGCAGGGACUUCAGAGUUGGUGGCAGAGUGAUGGUAGAAGAAGGUGAAUUCCAUAGGGUUUGAGCUUUGAGUCUUGAAGAAAAAAAUUGAAGCUGUUGGCAGUGAGGGAGAUCGAAUCUCUUGGUAUGAAGAAGAUUGAGGUCGUUGAAGAAGAGAUUUUGAGUGUGAAUUGCAGAACAAUCAAGCCCCUCCAAAAGUUGCAGUGAAGAAUGGUUUUAUAGCAGUUCAGAUUCUGUUAGAAACUUCCUCCAAAUUCAGGAGACACAGUUUUCACCCUGUUCGCCGACUACCCCGGUCAUUGCUACUCUGGCUUCAGCUAGUUCUCGCUUCCUAUACAGUUCCCUACUUAUAAUUCAUUUGCUAAUUUGGCUUUGAUUAUAACAAUGAUGUGGGACUGUUGUAUUCGUGUGCUACCGGAGGUUCGAAGUUUACGGGUUGCAGCUGGUUUGGAAGAUUGCAAAGCUAGUUAUAAGGUGGUAUUCUUGGUUCAGUUAGGAAUGAGUUUCAGUUCCGUUCAGUGAGAAGUUGUGGAGGUAAAUUUUGUUAGUUUGUAAUGAGAUUGUAUGGUGACAUGAUCUGAACUGCUAUUCUGUUUUCUAUUGGGUGUUCGCUAGCUUAUUGUCUUGACUGCAUAUGUUAAGCUAAAACUCACCAAAUUGCACAUGGGCUAGCAACCUUGCAGGUGAUGUACAAUGGAAGUAACUUGGCCUUGAAUGAAGACAAGAGCAUGAAGUGUAUAGUCAUGAAGACGGUGAAUAUUAAUGUUUAGGUCAUUUGGAUUAGAUGUUAGAAUCUUAGGUCAUGAACUUGUAUCUUUUUUGAAUUUGACUUAUAAUUAUGUGCUUGGAACUUGAAUUUUGGACUUGAGGUUGGAAGUUGAAUGUAAUGGAAUGUUUGGAUUUGUGUA